GCCAGGCGUUGUGGCGGGUGCCUGUGGUCCCAGCUACUUGGGAGGCUGAGGCAGGAGACUCGCUUGAGCCCAGGAGUUGGAGGUUGCUGUGAGCUGUGAUGCCAUGGCACUCUACCCAGGGGGAUAGCUUGAGGCUCCAUCUCAAAAAAAAAAAAAAAAAAGAAUUCAAAGUUUGAUGUCUCAGUCUAUGCUACCCUUAAAAUGUUCUUAAAAUAUUAGUAGAUUUGGGCUUAGGUUCAUGUUUGUUUGUUUGUUUUGAGACAGAGCCUCAAGCUGUCACCCUGGGUAGAGUAGUGUGGCAUCACAGCUCACAGCAACCUCCAACUCCUGGGCUCAAGCAAGUCUCCUGCCUCAG
rnacentral:SRP_RNA from 1 species